GGGCAAUUUGCUAGGGUAGUUUGGAAUGACAGUCCAUUUCAUCCUAAUUUGAAUGCUUAUAUAAAUGUCCUCUUAAAGUGCAUUCAAUCAAAUUUUGGUAGGGCAAUUUGGCUAGGGACUAAAUUGAAGGCAAACAAAAAUUUAGGGGAAAAAAGAGUGAAUUUAAAGAUAAAAUGGGCUAAGAUGCGAAGUAGGAGAGAAAUGGUGCCAGAAAUGCAAAGUAUGGAAGACUUGGACGGCGAUAGUGCAAAGAAGAGAUUUUAUAAAAAUAAGACUCUAUUUAAUUUUUAAUUAUAUUAGGAAAAUUAUUAAAGAUUAUUAUUUAGAUUUAAUGUUAGCAUUUAUCUUUAAUUAUUUGUAUUUAUAUUUUAGAAUUUAAGUAGGAAUAAAUAGGGGAUGGAUUGUCACAAAUUUGAUCUAUAUCUUUUCUGUAAACACUCCCUCUCCCAAAAAGUUUAGCCUUUUGUUCUUUCCAUAUAUUUUCAUUAUGUUUAUUUUUUUUCGCCAAAAA